GGUUUAGUGCAGUGGCAGUAUCGUAGCCAAUGAGGUUAAUCCAAGGUGCAAUUAUUGCUAAUUGAAAACUUUUCCCUGAUUAUUUAUUGAUGGAGAAGUUCCACACAACCUGAAACCCUGUCCCUGCAUAAAUCAUUACAUCCCCUCUUUUGUAUUCUGUAUGUAAAUGUAUAAGACUACUUCAGUA
rnacentral:snRNA from 1 species